GGCAAAUUUCAAAGGGAUCACAUUGAAACAAUACCCUAAGCAACCUUGAUCAACAUAUAUUCAAAAUUUGAACUGGACAUGAACAUGCAUACAACAAACAAAGAUGUCUUCUAUCAGGAACAAAGUAAUAUGAAUUUUACAAUGGAUUCAGACAUGUUAGAUCCAAAAGUUCCAAUUGAUUCUAUUGACACUGGGUAGUGCAGAUGAUAGCCUUCAGUUGACAUGACUCUUGGAUUCAGGAAGAUUGGUGUUUACACACAAUUUGAACAACAUCUUUUGGUAAGUACAAUGGAGUUGAAUGUCCACCAUUUUGAAUAAGUGCAUGCUCUUUAACAGUUCAAAUAGUGAUGAAUAAAGAGUCUUCUUAAUUUAAUAGAGUUGGCAAAAGUAUUAGACAAUAGAUUUAUGCACAUGAAUAUUAUCAAAAUUGUGUACGACAAGAGAUAUUUUUUUUAAAUCUUUUUAUUACUGUAUGUUUUAGAAAUAACAUUACUUAAAUUGAACCAAGAAAUCUUCUAAUAAAAGCAGUUUGGUAUUAAAUCAGAGAUCUGUUACGAUUUAACUGCCAAUAUUAAGAGGUUUGUCAACAAAUGGCAACAAUGUAUAGCUUUCAUAUAUAUAAUUUAACAGUGAGCACCAAAUUUGUUAUGUUAUUUUGAAUAGACAGAAAAAAUAUUACAGUCAUUUCUUAUAAUUUAAUACUAAAUUCCAUUUUAAACCGUAAAAAGCUAUGAAAAAACGUUGAUGACAUCACGGUCACAAGACUAAAUUAUGUAUAUGGGCUGAUAACAAAAUAACGUCAGCCAAUCAGAAGACACGUUACAUCCAAAAUUUAAAUUAUAAAGUAGUAACUUAUAUCUGUAUAUCUUUAUAAUUCUAGUUAUUUUUUUUAUGUCUACUAAUUAAAAUUCUUCAACUUUUAUUUUGCAGUAUUUUUGAAAUCAGAAAAUUCAACUUUAAGGACAGUGAGUACAGAGAAACAGAACUAAAAGUACACAGAUGUAACACAACAACCUAUAGAGGACAGAGACCAUUUUCAACCUAUAGAGGACAGAGACAUUUUUUUUAAUUAUUAAAUCAUAAAUUUUUAAAUGUUUAGUUUUUAAUUCCAAAUUUUACACCUGAAUUGUUGAAAGAUUUGCUGCAAUGUUGCCGCAAUAUUGCAAGAAAUUAAUUUUCCUGCAAUAUUGCUGCAACAUUGCAGCUAAUGAACUUGCCGCAAUAUUGCUGCAACAAUUACAGCUACUGAUUUUCCCGCAAACAUUUGCAGCAAUAUUGCCGCAAUUUGUUGCGGCAAUGUUGCAGCAACUGUUUGCAAGAAAACUAAUUUGCAUACGAAAAAUGAAUAUUUGCAGCAAUAUUGCCGCAACUAUUUGCAGCAACAUUGCCGCAAAUAUUUGCAAGAAGCCUUAUUUUUCUGUAAGGG
rnacentral:lncRNA from 1 species